GUUUUCUAUGUAUUUAAGUAUUUAUAUAUUAUAUAUAUCGUUGUAAAACUCACCAGGAGCUGUCACUCUACUCGAUAGAGUGAGAAACGAGCACAUCCGCGGCAGCUUUAAGAUCCGGCCAAUUGAAGACAAGCUCUCCGAAUCGCGCUUAAAGUGGUAUGGCCAUGUUAUGAGGAGGCCAGAAGAUCAUAUGACUAGACAAGUCCUUAACAUCAACAUCGGUCCCAAUAGAUCGGGCAGAGGUAGACCCCCUACGAUCUGGAUGUCCGUCAUAAACAAAGACCUUAAGAAAGCCCAAAUAGAUGUCUCGACGACCCAGAACAGGUACGCCUGGCGAAGAAUGACGAGGAGAGCCGACCCCAAAUGAUAUGGGAAAAGGCUAGGCGAAGAAGAAGA